UAUUUGAGUUUUAAUCCCAUUAAAAUCAGCCUUUUCUUGAUCGGAAGACUUGGGAUUUUCUUUAAGCCAUUCCAAAACACCCUCGUAAUUCGUCAGUUUCCCACAAUACCCCUCCUUUCUUCCACGUAUCUUUUCAUUCGCUUUGAGUCACACCAGAAGCUUACCGUGGACCUCCCUCUGAAACUCCAAUCUCUCACACAAUUUCACUCUAUUUCUCUCUCUAUAAAUACCACUAUAUCGAGAUAUAUAUAUAUAUAUAUAUAUAUAUUAUACAGGAGAGUAGAUGGAGAGAGUGAGGAGGAUGAAGUCCGACCCUCAUCCAACACCCCCAUUAACUCCGGUGUCACCUUCCUCGACACCUACGACGUCCACAGUCCUUUCAUCAACGAAUUCCUCAUCGCCAACCUUUUCCAACGACAAGAUUCAAAUUCUCGGUGAUCCGGUGUAUCCCCGUCCGGACCACCAGCGAGGCCCGCUUGAAGCGGCUCGACACUAGCAUCCCUAUCGAAGAUCACGGUGGAUUUUUCUAAAGAUGCAAUGACAAUUGAAGCAGUUAGAUUGGAUCAAAAUUCUUCCGAGCAUUUGUUCCUUCCGGAAUUCUUGUCAAUUGUUCUCCAAGGGGGAUUCUUAAGAGGAAUCCACGACGAUGCAGAGGGCUCUGCAACUGUCUAAACUGUGCUUCGUUUUGUCUCCAUGUUGACAGAGCAUUUGAGUUCUCCAGAAAUCAAAUGCAAGAUACUGAAGAGGUAGUUUUGGAGUUGAUUAAGGAAUUAUCAUACCUUCGGAAUAUUUUGGAGAAAUCUGAUAUUGAUGGCAAUGAUCAUGUUAUACAUGUCAAUCAGGUGACUAAUGAAUGAACUGAAUAUGCAUUUUUUAGUAUUUAUUGCUCUAGAUGUUUCAUUUUAAUAAUGUAAUUGUUACUAUUGCUUGUUCACCCUCUGCAAACUCAAUUUGAUAUUUAUGUACAUCUAUUGCUUUA